rnacentral:rRNA from 1 species
GAAUUCGCCCUUAGUUUGAUCCUGGCUCAGGACGAACGCUGGCGGCGUGCCUAAGACAUGCAAGUCGAACGGUUUUACAUUUCAGCUUGCUGAGAAGUAAGAUAGUGGCGGACGGGUGAGUAACGCGUGAGCAACCUGGCUCAGAGAGGGGAAUAACUCAGGGAAACCUGAGCUAAUACCGCAUAAAAUACGAAGAGCGCAUGCUUUUUGUAUCAAAGGAGAAAUCCGCUUUGAGAUGGGCUCGCGUCCGAUUAGAUAGUUGGUGGGGUAACGGCCCACCAAGUCAACGAUCGGUAGCCGGACUGAGAGGUUGAUCGGCCACAUUGGGACUGAGAACGGCCCAGACUCCUACGGGAGGCAGCAGUUAGGGAUAUUAGGCAAUGGGGGGAACCCUGACCUAGCAACGCCGCGUGAAGGAAGAAGGUUUUCGGAUUGUAAACUUCUUUGACGAGGGAAGAUAAUGACGGUACCUCGAAAACAAGCCACGGCUAACUACGUGCCAGCAGCCGCGGUAAUACGUAGGUGGCAAGCGUUGUCCGGAUUUACUGGGUGUAAAGGGCGUGUAGGCGGAGCAACAAGUCAGAUGUGAAAUCCGGGGGCUCAACCCCCGAACUGCAUUUGAAACUGUAGUUCUUGAGUGAUGGAGAGGUAAGCGGAAUUCCCGGUGUAGCGGUAAAAUGCGUAGAUAUCGGGAGGAACACCAGUGGCGAAGGCGGCUUACUGGACAUUAACUGACGCUGAGGCGCGAAAGUGUGGGGAGCAAACAGAAUUAGAUACCCUGGUAGUCCACACCGUAAACGAU